GCCCCUGGGCCGUCUGAGUUCUCGCUCGGGCCCCCUGGCGGGGUGUUCCUUGGGCCGACGCCCCCCUCUCCCUCGGGUUGCCGGGGGGGUUAGUGCUGACUCGGCUCGGGUGUCAGCCGCUAGCCACUGGCUUUCGGCCUCCGGCCCCAGGUUGCCGGCGGAGAUGGGGAAAGCAGCACCGACGCGGCUGCACGGCCAGGCUUGACAUCAUGACGCGUGCUGGCUGCGGCCUUCGGCCACCACCGUGCCCCGUGCCCUUACCCUGCGAAGAGCCAACGCCGGGCCUCGCCUCCACGCACAGCGAAUCUACGCCCCGUGCACCGCUGUUCCCUUCCUCUGCUCCCUCGCCUCCGCAUCCAGGAACACCGGGCCCUCCUAGGGUAUUCCACUGCGACCGGCGGCCCAUGGUAUGGCAUCUAGCAGGGACGCGCGGCUUCUGGGAUCGGGGGUCUGUUGUCCCCAGAUCCGCCGAUGUCGUUGCCCACCGACUGCUCAAAUAACAUUUGACAACAAUGUUGUUCAUGCAGCUGUUUUUGAAUUUUAUUUGCAGCUGAUUCUAACUGAAAAUGUUUGAAUGCUUUGGCGAAUAGGCUAUGUGCAUUCUCUGAUGGCAUCCGUGAGUUACAUUUCGGUAUGGCACUUAAAUAAACUUAUUUACAUCUGAUCUUGUAGUAUAUUUGUAUGUUUUUGUUCAGACUCUCAAUCUUGGAUCUCAUAGCUUGACACAGCCCAAGUCCUUCUGUGUGUGACUUGUUUCAGGAAAGAUAAUUGUCAUUCUUUCUAUAUGCCAAUUAUCAAUUUGUGCAAGAAGCAAAGAUGGCUGACUCUUUCUUUCUGUUUUGGUUACCUACCAGAAGAGUGAGAAAAAGAAAACACCUGGACACACCUAUUUGAAACUUCAUAAUCAAGUUAGAUGAAACUGUUUUCUUUGGCCUCGGAAUUAAGAUACCUUCUUAUCUCUUUAAAAUAAAUCGAUGCAGAAACUAAUUUGAACCAGCCCACAAGUAGAUUAUCCGGCUGGAUUUGGGUUGCAAAAAAACCGCAUCUUUUGUUUCUCUUGAUAUGUAAUAAGAGCAAAAUAGUUCUGUAGUUAUGAGUUCAGCCAUGUAUCAACAAAUAAUUCAUUUGGCGGGGGUUGGAUGUGUUCCUGGUUGGUCCAUGUUAUCUCCCAUUGAUAUGUCUCCUGCAAAGGGUAUGAGGAUAGGUGAGCGAACAGCCUUUUUGACAAAAUCCCAUGGUGUACAUAAGCAUAUUUUGCUUUGAUCAUUGUUAUAUUUAGUUGCUUAUGAAUUUUAAUCUGAGGGCGGGGUGAAACUUUUGUGCACAGAAUUAGCCUAAGCAUAAGCCCUGUUUUAGAACAAUGUUUCUCAUGUAGGUACAUAAAAGGUGAUUAAGGCAUUUGUGCGCUGCUUCAACUUUUGUAGUAGCCCUGUUUUUGAAAAUGAUGAUGACGUUACUAAUGAA